CUGCUUUCAAAGAAAGAGUCUUGGGGAAGAAGAGUGAUUCACACUAACCAACUACAAAAUAGGUGAAUGUUCAUGCAUGCUGAAGCUAUAUCCAAGAGAAAAAGAAGAGCUGAGACGUGUAUCCAUAGCACCUUCGUGCGUUUUCAUCUUGCUGAGUUUUCUCCUCUUCCCCUGCUACUUCCAGCACAUCUUGAUGUGGAAUCUCUGGCCCUUCACAUGAUUCCCCAGGGCAUUAAUCCAUUCAGCCCCUUCUGGGUCGUGCGUGAUAAAUCACAAUUUUCAACCUCAAGCCGUCCUAAAUCUUGCUUGUGCUCCAUUAAUGAAAUCAUCUCUUUUAUCUCAUCACUGCAGGUAAAAACAAUUUUCCAUAUGUUAUACCCUCUUAUCACGACUUCUAAAAUGCCGCCAUGGUUACAUACUGUCUGCUUUACAUUGGGAAAGCAGAAUGUCAGUGUACUAGAAAACAAUUCUAAAAAUCUGUAGCACUAUUCAUCAACCAGUCUCAGCUGCUAACUGAAUGAAUAAUUCCAUGAUUAAGAGCCGGG
rnacentral:lncRNA from 1 species